CCCCGAAUUGUGUAAGAAAAACGUGUUCAUGAUUAUCGUUAUCGUCAAGAAAUUCUACCCUUUGAUUGGCUGUAAAAAAACGUAAACAGCGAAUCAACCAAUCAAAGGGCAGAAUUCGCUGUCGAUAACGAUAGCGAUGAAUACGUUUUUCUUACACAAUCGGGGGGCUGAUCUCGUCGAUAAUUUUAU